GAUGAACGCUAGCGAUAGGCUUAACACAUGCAAGUCGAGGGGUAACGUGUUGGAAGCUUGCUUCCGAUGACGACGACCGGCGGAUGGGUGCGUAACGCGUAUGCAACUUGCCUCACAGUGGAGAAUAACCCGGAGAAAUCCGGACUAAUACUCCAUACACUCUUAAGUACGCCUGUACAUGAGAGGAAAGAUUUAUCGCUGUGAGAUAGGCAUGCGUCCUAUUAGGUAGUUGGUGAGGUAACGGCUCACCAAGCCGACGAUAGGUAGGGGUGCUGAGAGGCAGAUCCCCCACAGUGGGACUGAGACACGGCCCAAACUCCUACGGGAGGCAGCAGUGAGGAAUAUUGGUCAAUGGAGGAAACUCUGAACCAGCCAAGUCGCGUGAAGGAAGAAUGUCCUAAGGAUUGUAAACUUCUUUAGCGAGCGAGUAAGGACUUCCACGUGAUGGGAGUUUGAAAGUAGCUCGAGAAUAAGUAUCGGCUAACUCCGUG
rnacentral:rRNA from 1 species